UCCCUAAGUUAACUAAAUUCCCUUUCAUUUUUUCAUCACAUAGUUCGUUCUUCUUCAUCCUUCUGCAAACCCACGAAUCUAAACAUCUUCGUUCUUCUUCAUCCUUCUGCAAACCCACGAAUCCAAACAUCGUUUGUUCUUCUUCAUCCUUCUGCAAACCCACAAAUCCACGAAUUCAAACCUGCGAAUCCAAACCUGCGAAUCCAAAUCCAUUUUUCAUCCUUCAACAUUCGUUUUUCAUCAAAUCCAACCACAUUUAACCUUUAUCCUUCAGUGAAAACGUUUUCAUCCUUCCACAUUUAACCUUCAUUCUUCAGUGAAAAGUGAAUCGUGAUUCGCAGCUUUUAGCCUUCAUCGUCGGCGAGUUGGUCCGGUGCAACUUUCAGUCAAUUUCUUUCACUAUCGAGAAGUGUUUGUGGCUUUCUCCGACACAAUUUUGAUUCCUGACAAAUUGACGCACGCUUGAGAGUUGCACAAAUUCAAAGGACUAUGCAUAUAUAUAUAUAUAUAUAUAUAUAUAUAUAUAUAUAUACUUAUUCUUAUAUGAUGAUAAAGUUCAUUGGCUUUGGAAUGCGUCAAAAUUAAAGCUGAUCUGACUCCUCCUACCUCAUGCCAAUGCUCAAACAACUAAAUUCAGAUGAAUUCGCAUGCUUCCCAUCAAUCAAAAUAUAAAGGGGAUGAUGAUUUGUUCUGGGGUCCAAUUGAACAAUCCAAGCAAGAAACUAAGCAGUCAGAUUUUCCUCAGCUGGCUAGCCAGGGAAGCUGGGGGUCGAAAAUGUACCCCUGAAAGGUAAUUCACCAGGAUUUUUAACCCGGCAGAAAUCAGCAAGUGGCAAGCCAACUGAGCGACCUCUACAAUCACCACCUGCCUCUUCUCCAUCGGCGCUGAAACUGAAAAAAGAUGCCAUGACUAAGCAUUCUGAGGCCAUGGGCUUCAGAGAUUAGUGUGAGAAUGAGUGUGUUAAGCUCAUUGGGACAAAAGAUACAAGUUUCCUUGAAUUUUGCUUGAAGCAAUCCAGAUCAGAAGCUGAGACCCUUCUUAUAGAAAACCUUGGAUCGUAUGACCCUGACCAUCAAUUCAUUGAUAAAUUCCUCAAUUACAAAGAGUUGUUACCAUCGGAUGUGUUGGACAUAGCUUUCCAGAGUAGGCAUGACAAGAAAGUUAACGGACUUGGUGUCGCUGCUGGUGGCAUGGCAUCAGCUAAAGCUGCAGAUAUACAGGAUGUGGACCAAACUGAAGGAUCCUCCAAAGGAGGUGGAAAGAAGAAGGGGAAAAAGGUUAGCCCUUUAGUUUUGGGAUUUAAUGUUGUGAGUAACCGGAUCAUGAUGGGUGAGAUCCAGACUGUAGAAGAUUAAGAUAAGAUUACAAUUAAAUUUUAUGCAUGAGGUUGUUGCGGUAGAUGUACAUACAUUUUGGUCGCAUAUUGUAAAUGCUUUUGUUCGAUUUAGGAUAUUUAUUUCCUACACAGACUGUAGCAGCAUUUAGGAUAUUUAUUUCCUACACUUGUAUCAUUUUAGUAUCUUUAGAUUGGUAAUAGAAGAUAAUGUUUUUUUUUUAA